rnacentral:lncRNA from 1 species
CAUUUAUAAUUAAAUAAUAAGCACAUAAACACACAUAAUUCACAUAAUACUCAAAUAUUUCAUCUUUAUUACUUCAAAAAGAGUUACAAUAGUUGACCUAGACUAUUACAUUGAAAAAAAUGCUUAGCCCUGAAACCCGGGCGUUACAUCAUCGUUUAACUCAAGGCUUCUCAUCAUCUUUCACCGCUCAACAUCUAUAUCAUCUUUCAUAUACCCAUCUUUACGCAAUAUAUUUAUAGGUAUAAAAAUACAUAUAUACAGUUUAAAUCAAGUAAAACGUGUAUAAAUUGUUCAUCUAGCAUAAAUAUCAGAAACACAGAUAAUAAAAACAUAUAGCAUGUAUUAAUAUUAAAUACUUCAUAUCUAUAAAGUGACGACUCGAAAUUCGGGCAGCGCUUCGCUUCUAACAAUCAUCUUUUCCUUUGACGAAACGUAGUAUCAUUAUUACUAAGUUUUAGUUUUUUAUUUAUUGCGACUAAUUAUUAGCCUAGAUUCGUCAUUAACUCAAAGUCUACUUCAAGAUCUAUCAAGUAAGGGACAACCAAGCAGGAUCAUAUCGGAGGUAAGUUCCGUUAGGUAUACGAAGUAUACUGUUUGGAAAUCCCACUUUAAACACCUCACUAAAUCACAGCCUAGACAUCAUCCCCGUAUGUAGAUCGAUCAGUAUAAUGACUUGGAAUCACCGAUAAAUCUUUUUUAUAGGUUCAUAAUAACAAUAAUGAACUUAAACAUAAGUUAUACUUAAAGUAGGGUAAGCAUAACUCACUUACAAGGGGGGUUUAGCGAGGAACCGAGCUCUAUGCGAGCAGAACUUUUGAGCUGAAAGCUCUUCUUCUCGGAGCUUUUGUGGUGCUAUAAGACAUGCUACUAACACCUAGGAGGUACUAGGGAAAAUCCUUGAGGGUUUCGGGAGUUUAGGAGAGAAAUUGAUGAGAUUGGUGUAGAGAAAUGAGGAAAAACGAGUUCUAUUUAUAGGCUGGCAGUACUCGCGUACGUUGGGCGUACUAGAGUUGUACAUUGGGCGUACUCAGUACGUGGAGCAUACCAAGAGCUACAUGGGGCAUACGCUGCUACGUGUUAAAAUCACAUGUGAAGCCAUGGGGAGGAAGGUGCGGUUGAGAUGGUGCCACGUAUCGCCUCCAGAACUUAACCCUAAAAUUAGUUAUCUUCUGAAUUUCGUAACUUUCACACAUGAGCUCCAUUUUUUACGUUAUUUAUGUCCAUGUGUAGGUAUCAUUGUGAUCUAUAACUUUCAUUUAGAAACCAUCGGCUAUAUUUGACUUUAUUAUUAAAGUUAUAUUUUAACAGACUUGGAAACUUAAAGUCCGUUAAAAUUUUAUAACUUUGUCAUCCGGCAUCCGUUUUUGGCUGUCUUUAUAUUGUUAAGCUCCUAUUAACGAGAUUUUCAAUUCUUUUUUAGGUUGUGUCAGCUAAAAAUCGAUCGAUCUAAACUUCGAUUUUUGGGUUGUGUACUACUAUGCUAAAUCUUAGAAAAAUCAUAACUUCCUUAUACGAAAUCAGAUUUGGACGUUCUCUAUAUGCACGCUCUCGGUUUGACAUAUACUAUGACCUUCAUUUAGAUCACUAAGGCUAAAAAGUAUUUCAUCAAAAAAUCGCUUUUUACAAUACGUAGAGCUGUGCCGAUUUUGUUGCAAAACUUCGACGUGUCAUAACUUCUUCAUUAUACGUCAGAUUUCAGGGUUCUUUAUAUGUACGGAAUCCUUGUGGCAUAUACUAUAAUUUGAUUAAGACUAUUUAUUCUAAAUAUUCUUUUAUCAAAAAGCCAUUUUUAAUGCUUAUUGUCUCUAAAUUGACUAGCUUGGAUCUACGGGCGUUACAAUGAUCUCCCUCUUAGGAUGAUUAUGUCUCGUAAUCAUCAAAAAACAGGUCUUGUGUAAUAACUCCACACGUUAUCUUUUUCAUCCUACUUAACAAACGUAACUCUUAUGUUCUUUCAAACGAGUAUCUAACUCUUGGACUUCUUGACAGCUGGCGGGGCUCAAUCUUGCACCCGCUCUUCAUACUAUGUUAGAAUUUCAAUUGUAACCUUCGAGUUACAAUCUCGAUCCUUAUUGGAGACUCCUGCUUCUUUUGAAAUAGACUUUACUUUGAUUAACGUAACAACCCGAUGGGUCAUGUUCUAAUUGACCACUCAUCGUAUGAUGCAAUGCUUGGACUCAAGUCUUUUUGAGUCAGAUUCCAGAAUGGAAUAUACCUUCCUUCAUGUUCUAAUGUGAUACAAUCACAUUCUAGCAUGUAGCACUUCUAGCUACAAGCUUCUUACUUUAACAACGAUCGCGGUACUUCGAUUGAUCGCUUCGAUUAUCUUUCACUUCAAUCUUCUGGCUUAAGUCAGAUGUUACAUCGAACAACUAGGGUCGGAAUAACAAUCAUCUUCUUAGUCAUUGCCGAAACGAUGGUAACAAUAGACACGCACAAAACAUAAUCAAUUACUAGCGCCUUGGUAACCUUGUGACUUUCCCUAAUCCAAGUGCGAGUCCCGUGCUUCCGGUAGUAUAGGCCUCUACUACCUUUCAUACCUACUUAUACUUGUCCCAAGUAUUGUCUCGCAGUCCACAAGUUCUUAUUUCUUAAAAUCAUAAAAUGAUUUAACACAUACGAAUGUGUCCAAGUAAUCAAAAAAAUUUCUCUAGACUCUACUAGGACUUCUUCCAUACGUAUCUUCAACAAGAAUUCUACUUCAACUUGGUUGGUGAUGGAAACAUCAGAUGAUAGGACAACUUUAGGAAUUACACAAUUUUUGUAUCAUCCUGCCAAUCAAAUGUGUAUAUUCGGAUGUAUCGUAGUCCUCUAGACAUACUGUUAUUUUAUCAGACGUAUUCUAAAGGCAAGAUAUUGCUCUUAUGAUAUCUUCCGAUAGGUAUCAUUCACUAUCGUAAUCCUCCUUGUUUCCUCUAUUUACUCAAUUUAAUAUGAGUGUUCACCAUGACUUUAUGUUCAUGGAAGCACACGUUCAGAUCCAGUUGACAAUAGUCCAUGGAUCCGAUCAAAUAAUAGCAUCAUAAAGCAUAUAAGGCUAUAACAAAAAUCAUUUAGUGCAUAAAAGUAAUUUAGGCAUCUAACACUAAAGUAAGCUAGUGCUUGUGUCAAUUCAGGUGUACUCCCUAAAAUAUAAUAGGCACACUCCUCAUGAUCAUCGCUUAGCAUUCUAAGUUUAAGUUUAGAAAUAAAUCUUUAUUCCUAGUUCGCUAAAACUAAUGCUCUGAUACCAACUGUGACAUUCCCGAAAUUCAAGAUCAUUUUAAAAAUUUUAUUUAUGCUUAUUUAAAAAUCAAAGUAUCCAUUUUAAAGAUGAGUAAAUUAUACGAAUGGUCCCUGUGGUUUGGGGUAAUUUGCACAUUUGGUCCCUAACUUAUUUUUUAACUCGGAAGGUCCGUACAGUUUGUUUUUGUUAUGCGUUUGGUCCCUACUGUUUGUUUUUGUUAUUCGCUUGGUCUCCGUCUUACCUAAAAAAACUAUUAUUUAAAUAGGGAAAGAUGAUGAGAUAGGUAAGGUAAGGUGAGGGGUGUGGUUGGGGGUCUAUUUAUUUAAAUAAAUUUAGAAAUCAAGGUCAAAAUAGUUUUUUUUAAGUAAAAUAGGGACCAAAUGCAUAACAAAAACAAACAGUAGGGACCUUCCGAGUUAAAAAAAUAAGUUAGGGACCAAACGCGCAAAUUACCCUAAACCAUAAGGACCAUUCGCGUAAUUUACUCUUUAAAGAAUAAUAUUGCGAAAUUUGUUCCGAGAACACAUGAUAAAGAUAUUAUCAAAGCAUUUCCAAAGAAAUUUAUUUUGUUUAUAGUAAAACAUUAGGAUGUUAUCGUCAAUACAUAAAUAAAAGCAUAAACAGAUCUUAGAUUCAUUUACACUAAUUAUUUACAUCUUCUUUAAUCUCUCAGUAUAAUGUAUCUUCGUAUCAACACUAUGAUACAAAUAAACUGAGUGGGUUAGGUUGGGAAAUGUAACGCCCGUAGAUCAGGGCUAGUCAAUUUAGAGACGAUAAGUAUCAAAAAUGACUUUUUGAUAGAAGAUUAUCGAGAAGUAUUAAUCUUAACUAAGUUGUAGUAUAUGUUACAAGGAUUCCGUACAUAUAAAGAACGCCGAAAUCCGAGUUAUAACGAAGAAGUUAUAACCUGUCGAAGUUUCAAGACAGAACCGGCACGACACAGUGCGAUGUAAAUAGUGAAUUUACGUUAGAGCGAUAUUUGGCCUUAGCGAUCUAAAUGAAAGUUGUAGAAUACGUUAAACCGAGAGCGUGCGUAAAAAGAACGCCCAAAUCUGACUUCGUAUGAGGAAGUUAUGAUUUUCCGAAGUGUCGACUUAGCAGUAUGCAGCCCAAAUACUCGAUUUGAGAUCGAGCAUUUUUUUAGCCAAAACAAUCUAAACGAGAAUCGAAGAUCUCGUUAUUAGCAGUGCAACGGUAAAAAGACAGACGAAAACGAACGUCAGAUGAAGGAGUUAUGAACUUCUAGCGGAGUUUUCCUGUCUCGGUUUACUAAAAAUAAUAUAAAAAUAAUAUAAUAAAUAUAAAUUCAAAAUUAGCCGAUGAAUUCUAAAUAAAACUUGUAGAUCUUGUUUUUACCUACGCAUCAAUAUAAAGAACUUCGAAAACGGAGUUCGUAUGCGAACGUUAUGAAUUUCUGAAGUUCGGGGCGCGAAACCCCAAAACUGUCAGAGACCAUGACGUGAAAUCAGUGGUCACAACGUGGUAUGUCUUCUGAUGCCUUCUGGAGCAAGUGGACGAUGACGCAUGUAAUGACGCUCAAGCCCACGACAUCAAAACAAUGUUCACGACGUGAAAAUCGAAAAAUCAGCCCUAUAAAUUGAAUCAAAGGGCAGUCGGGUUUUGGUUGCUAAUUCCUUCACUCUAUCACUCCCGAUACCCUCUCUAGUUGUCUUGAAGUUCCCCCGGAGCCCUAGUAUCAUCCCGAGACCCGAAGCGAGUCCCAAAGCCUGAAGAUCCUGAGAAGAAAAGAGUUUCCGAGCCGAAGCUCUGUCCACGAGAAACCCGGUGUGUGAAGAUAUCCCGGUUUCACCAAAGAGUUACUACUUGGAGAGUCGUAGUGUUGUUCGAUAAUCGUAUUAUCAAGUGAGUGUGUAGUUACUUUCUUCUAACACAUAAAUAUGAAGUAUUUGCUAUGAAAUACGUGCUAUGUGUUUAUAUAUUGUUGUUUAUUUGAGAUGAGUGUGGAAUGGAUGUUUUAUAUAGUUUUUAAAUGAGUUAAAUCGUAUAUGUAUUUUAUAUCUACAAAUAUGUUGGGUAGAACAUGGGUAGAUGGAAUAGUUGGUGUGUGAUGAAAGAUGGUAUGAGUAAACCUUGGUGACUAUGGAGUUAGCGCCUAUUGUAUAAACCUUGGUGACUAUGGAGUUAGCGCCUAUUGUAUAAACCUUGGUGACUAUGGAGUUAGCGUCUAUUGUAUAAACUUUGGUGACUAUGGAGUUAGCGCCUAUUUGAUAAACCUUGGUGACUAUGGAUUUAGCACCUAUUGUAUAAACCUUGGUGACUAUGGAGUUAGCGCCUACUGUUGAGUAAACCAUGGUGACUAUGGAGUUAACACCUGAUAACUAUGGAUUUAGUACUUGAUAGAUAAACUUUGACAGCAAUGGACUUCGUGUCAUCCAUUAGAUAAAUCCUUAGGAAUGAAUGGAUGAAGGAUUGUUGAUUCUUAGGGUAAACCCUUAAGAACUAAAGGAGAUAUGGGGAUGGGUGUUUGGGUUGAUUGUUUGAUAAUUGAAUAUAAUAAAUGUAUUAUUGUGGGUUGAAAACCCUAUAUGCUCACCAGGCUCCCAAGCCUGACCCACUCAGUUUUCUUUGUAUCACAGGUAUCGUUGCGAAGACCUAUUUCACUGAGAGAUUAAAAAAGAUGUAAAUCACUAGUGUAAAUGAAUGUAUGAUAUGUUUAUGCUUAUGUGUCUGUAUCGGAACAUGACAUCCCAAAGUUUUAUUAUUAAAUAAAAAUACAUUCUCUUUGAGAAAUGUUUUGAUAAGUUAUUAUCAUAUCUUGUUUUUGGGAACAAAUUCUGUAACCAUUUUCUUUAAACAAUUACUCUGAUUUAUAAAACAAAGCAUAAACAAAUCGGUCUUUUCUGGCCGUGAAAUUGGGGAUGUCACAGGAAACUUGGUGAGUACAUAGGGUUUUCAACCCACAAUAAUAUAAUUAUUAUAUUUAAUCAUCAAACAAUUUACCCAACUUACCAUCCCUAUUAUCUUCUUUAUUUUUAAGGAGCUACCCUAAGAAUCAUUUAUUCUUCAUUCAUUCAUUCAUAAGUAUUGUCCUAAGGAAUAGGUACAAAGUCCAUCGCUUCCAGGGUUUAUCCAGAAGGCACUAAGUCCAUAGAUGUCAAUGUUAUCUAUUAGGCACUAAGUAUAUAGCUGCCAAUGUUAUCUAUUAGGCACUAAGUCCAUAGUUAUCAAUGUUAUCUAUUAGGCACUAAGUCUAUAACUGCCAAUGUUAUCUAUUAGGCAUAAAGUCCAUAGCUGCCAAUGCUAUCUAUUAGGCGCAACUGCUAGGAUAUUUAGAGUACAUCUAGUGAACACGUAGUUCAAAAACACUUAUAGGUUGCGAGCCUGCUAGCGUUCCACUGGACUGUCUACAAUAGUCUAUGGUCAUCAUUUAUACUCUGCUAGAUGAUUGGAUCAUCGUUUAAGUCAAGGCUUCUCAUCACCUUUCACUUAUCAACAUCUAUAUCAUCUUUCAUCUCUCAUCAUCCAUAUCAUCUUUCAUAUACCCAUAUUGACCCAAUAUAUUUAUAGGUAUAAAAAUACAUAUAUACAGUUUAAAUCA